rnacentral:piRNA from 1 species
UCCUUCUCGCAACCCAGCCUGCCUU